rnacentral:lncRNA from 1 species
AAGGAAAUAUUAGCAUAGUGUUUCUUUUGAUAGCGAUAGACUAUAAUCCGUAUUUAAAUUUUAUAGAGGAGAAAUUUUAUUGUACUGUGAUGUAGAUAUUUAUUAUCCAGGUAAGGAUUUGCCCGGUGUGUAUUUUUUACAAUUGAAACACUUUAAUCUUUAAAAAAAAAAACUUUAAACACACACACACACACAGACACAAAAACAGACUAGGGGAAAAAAGGUUUGGCCUUAUCACAGAAUUUGUACUGUGCUGUACAAAUGUUUGCAAAUGCAAAACGUGUGCAUUUCUAGCGUGUUUCUACAUUCAUUAAUGCCGCCUUCAGGAGCAAUAUCGUGCAGGUAAAAUGCUGUUUGUGGCUUUCUGUUGCACAGUUAAAGCUGACCCACCUUAUGCACAAGACAAUCAGAUAUAAAUCUGUCCUCCUCAGGAUGCAGACAGGACGUUCCAGAGCACAACGCACGACAGAAGAAGACCCUUAGGAGACAGGCAACUUGCUGACACACACGCUAGCAGGGCAUGAACGAGCAGACAUUAUGCCACUCCCCUCUUUUGGUUCUUCCUAUUUGGCAUUUUUCAUUUGAUUUUAGAGCCAAAUUAGUUAUGAAAGCUUUCUUUGGAGAAAACACCUUUAUUCCCCCAUGAUGUUUUCAUGCCCUGAGAAUCAGAAAAGGACAAUAGAACAGGGAAAGAUUUACAGUCAUCGGAAGAUUUGUGUUUUGCAAAUGGUGUUAAGUGAUAUUGCUAGAUUGGUAAUAUUUUUUUCAGCCUAAAAUUCUAUUGAAAUCUGUGAUCAAAAUGUUUUAAACUAUCCAAAAAGAAAAUUUGUAUAUUUGGGAAAAAUGGAUUUUUACAUAGCUUUUGUAUGCAGAUAUUAAAUUGUAAUUAUGACUAUAGCAGGCAUAGAUAAACUGAUAAGCUACAAUUCUAAAAAAGAAACAAAAAAGAAAAGCUUAUAACGGA